rnacentral:rRNA from 1 species
UACGUAGGGUGCGAGCGUUGUCCGGAAUUAUUGGGCGUAAAGAGCGUGUAGGCGGCCAAGUAGGUCCGGUGUGAAAACUCGAGGCUUAACCUCGAGAUGUCAUCGGAAACCAUUUGGCUAGAGUCCGGAAGAGGAAAGUGGAAUUCCUGGUGUAGCGGUGAAAUGCGCAGAUAUCAGGAAGAACACCCGUGGCGAAAGCGGCUCUCUGGAACGGUACUGACGCUGAGACGCGAAAGCGUGGGGAGCGAACAGG